AGACCUGCGGAAAGACGCUGCUGGCCGCGCUCAGGAGUCCGGCUUCACCGGGCCAGGAGCUGCUGAAAGGCCUAGAGGACCAGCCAGACUGGGCCUGCGCCUCCCCGCCCAGACCCUCCCAGAGCUCCCCUCUGGCUCAGAACAGAAUCCAACGACCUUCCUGUGACCUCCAGGGAAGUAAAUCAUCUGCCCCUCACCACUGCUCUGGCUCUAUCACCUAGACUCGCUCACUCCACUCCUUGCUAUGCCCCAAACCCCAGGCUGACUAGCACCUCAGGGCCUUUGCACAUGUUUCCUCUCCCUGAAACACUCUUCCUCU
rnacentral:lncRNA from 1 species